rnacentral:lncRNA from 1 species
CAAAGUCUUGCUCUGUUGCCCAGGCUGCAGUGCAGUGGCAUGGUCUUGGAUCCCUGCAGCUUCAACCUCCUGGGCUCAAGUGAUCCUCCCACUUCAGCCUCCUGAGUAGGUGGGACUACAGGCAUGUACCACCAUACCCGGCCAAUUGUUUUUAUUUUUAAUUUUUUUGUUGUUGUUGAGACGGGAUCUUGCUAUGUUGUCCAGGCUGGUCUCAAACUCCUGGGGUCAAGUGAUCCUCCUACCUCUGCC